CAAGCGGAGGAACAUGUGGUUUAAUUCGAUGAUACGCGAGGAACCUUACCCGGGCUCGAACGGCUGGUGAAGAGAACCAGAGAUGGUGACGUCCUUCGGGACACCAGUCGAGGUGCUGCAUGGUUGUCGUCAGCUCGUGCCGUGAGGUGUCGGCUCAGUGCCAUAACGAGCGCAACCUUGCCGUCAGUUACCAGCACGCAAUGGUGGGGACUCUGGCGGGACUGCCACCGCAAGGUGAGAGGAAGGGGGGGAUGACGUCAAAUCAGCACGGCCCUUACGUCCGGGGCGACACACGUGUUACAAUGGUGGGUACAGAGGGAAGCCAUGUGGCGACACAGAGCGGAACCCAAAAACCCAUCUCAGUUCGGAUCGGAGUCUGCAACCCGACUCCGUGAAGCUGGAUUCGCUAGUAAUCGCGCAUCAGCUAUGGCGCGGUGAAUACGUUCCCGGGCCUUGUACACACCGCCCGUCAAGCCAUGAAAGCUGGGGGCGCCUGAAGUUCGUGACCGCAAGGAGCGACCUAGGGCGAAACCGGUAAUUGGGGCU
rnacentral:rRNA from 1 species